rfam:Lactobacillus vaccinostercus DSM 20634 NODE_139, whole genome shotgun sequence.
CGCAAGGCCUUAAGGCAAGGUUAUGCUUACGAAUUGUGUCAGGUCCGGAAGGAAGCAGCACUAAGUUUGAUGUAGCUUGUGCCUUAAGUUUUAUUGUU